rnacentral:lncRNA from 1 species
AAGUGUUUCAAGCUGGACGAGAUGUUGGCACAAGUGGUGUAAGAAGACACUUGGCUGCUUGCGAAAAAAGGUCAGAUUUACACCUCUACGUUGAGAAGAUGAAGUCCCCGGUUUCAUCUCCUGAUGCCUCUAUGCUUAAGCAAUGGAACUUUGAUCAAGAAACAUCUAGAGAUUUGCUUGCCAGAAUGAUAGUAAUGCAUGAGUUGCCUUUCUCAAUAGUUGAGUACAGUGGUUUUAGAGACUUCGUGAAAAGUUUGAAUCCCUUGUUCAAAAAUGUUUCUAGAAAUACUAUUAAAGAUGAGUGCAUGAAACACUAUAAUUUGGAGAGGUCGGCGUUCUCUGGACAUUUGAAGAAAUACAGUGGUAGAGUUUCUUUAACAGCGGACAUGUGGACAUCUAAUCAGACUUUGUCCUAUCUAUGCAUCACUUGCCAUUUGAUCAACAGCAAGUGGAUUUUGCAAAAGAGGAUCUUUAGAUUUUUUAUGGUGGAGACUCCACAUAAUGGAGUAACAAUGUUUAAUGUCUUAUUAAAGAGUUUGCAGGAGUGUAAUAUUGAGGACAAACUCUUUAGUAUGACAUUGGAUAAUGCAUCAGUUAAUGGUACAAUGGUCAAUAAUCUUAGAAAAAAUCUGAACAGCAAGCAUAUGUUGCCUAUUAAAGGUCAAUUACUUCAUAUCCGUUGUGCAUGCCAUGUGAUAAAUUUGAUUGUCCAAGAUGGGUUGACAACGAUGAAAGGUGUGAUAGAUGAUAUCAGAGAGAGUGUGAAGUACAUUAAGAGUUCUCCCUCUCGGUUGGACAAGUUCAAAGAAGUAGUUGCGCAAGUUGGUAUCUCUUGCAAACUCCCCUCACGUUGGAACUCCACCUAUAUUAUGUUGGAGUCAGCGCUCCCCUUUCGAAGAGCCUUUCGUGCUUUGGUGCAAAAGGACCCAGAUUAUGUGUUUUGCCCAUCCUCAGGAGAGUGGAAAAAUGCUGAUACAGUUUGUGCUAUGUUAAACGUUUUUCACACAGCCACAAAUGUACUUUCUGGUUCAAGUUAUUCUACCUCAAAUUUGUACUUUCAUCAAAUCUGGAAUGUGAGGUUAUUGUUGCAGAAGGAAGCUUCAACAAAGGAUGAAGUCGUUCAAGCAAUGGUUGGAGAGAUGCAAAAAAAGUUUGAUAAGUAUUGGAUGGAAUCAUAUUUGCCAAACUGUAUUCCUGUGAUCCUUGAUCCACGAUUUAAACUUUGCUUCAUCGAGUUUCGACUAAAACAAGCUUUUGGUCCAGAUGUAGAAAGACACUUGCUUGCAGUGAAAGAAGUUCUUGACAACCUUUACGAAGAAUAUUCUUCACAAAUGACGGAUGCAUUGGAUGAGUCAGCACCCCGACAAAAUUUUGAUGAGGUUGUGAAUGAAGAGAAUGAUCCGUUGGCGGAUUGGGACCAACACUUGAAUAAGAAGCAACGCCAAACUGCUAGUGAGCUUGCCAGAUACUUAGAAGAAGACACAUUCACUCGCACGGAGGAUUUCAACAUUCUUCAAUGGUGGCAUCUUCACUCGUCUAAGUAUCCCAUCCUUUCUUGUAUAGCUCGUGAUGUUCUUGCUGUACAAGCUUCCGUCGUAUCGUCAGAGUCGGCUUUCAGUACCGGAAAGCGUUUGAUCAGCGAUUACAGAAGUAGAUUAUGCAGCGAGACAGUGGAAGCCUUAAUCUGCCUUCAAGAUUGGUUUAGAUGUAAUGAUAAGCAUGCCAAUGCUCCUGAUCAAGGUCACUACUAUUAACUGAGGUAUGUGUGCACUACAUAAUAUUGCUAAUCAAUUGUUCAACUGUAGCAAGCUUUGGGUAAAUUUGGGGAGCAUUUGAGUUAAAUCUGGUUUCUUUUACGUCCAUAGUUUCGAGUUGCGCUCUGAAUAUAAAUUGUGUAUGCUUCUAACUUGUAUGUAUUUAUCAUCCUUGCAAUUAUGCUAUCAAGAUCUGGUCACAAUAAUACUCAUGAAGGACUCUUCUUGGUUAGAAUAUUAAUUUAAGAUCAUUGCCUAUUGUGAAUUUGUUGCUAGCUAUCUGCAUUUUUUAAAGAUUGUGGUGCUAGCUAUCUGCACUUUUUAUCCUUGAUGGUUUUGCUUCCCUCCUCGACAAUAUUGAUUAACAAUCAUUUUAGGGAAAGGAAAUACACACUGGUGUAUGCUUGUGAUUUAAGGAACCCUGCUUACUUCUUAUCCUUGUUUCUUUUUCAUGUAGAUAGUACUGUAUGUCUUAUAUAACUUAUUAAUAAACUUGAAUGACCGCAGGUUGAGAUGUUUCUGAAGAAAAAAUCAGUUGAGUCGACCGAAGAUGAGGCCAGUCCUGGGACCAUUCUGAUUCCGAUUAAUCAAGUGAAAGACCAGUGAGCAUAGCUUGGUGUACAAAGGUCGCCCGACACAAAGCUGACAGAAGAAUGGAAGAUGCUCUUAGCUGAUAGUUUUAUCAUUUGGUGCCGUUUUGAGUCUAGGACUCUAGGUGCUUUCUGUUAAUUUUGGGAUAUGGAGGAUGGGGAGUGUGUUGCAUAUUCCUUUUUGUUCACAUACAGGAGAUAUUUCUGCUGCUUUGAUAGGCGUUUUUAGUUAAGUUGCCGCUGCUUUGUGGAUUUUGUUAUUCUAGAGGCGACUACUGAAUUUCCCUGCAUGAAGCUCGAACUCACUAGUGAUAAUUAGUAGCGGUCGUUAUGUCAGUGUGGGCUAAUAUUAUCCACUGUUCGAGUGAUCCUUUGUAUGUCAGCUUAUCCAGUCUAAGCUUUGUAAAUAUAUGCGGCAGUAUGUGGACGCCACAUGUCCCGCAUGAAAAUUAACUGGGCUCCCG